AGACUCGUGCCUGCAAAGCAUCAGCGCCACCCUCGGAGCAGGGCGUUGUCCUGUGAAUGUGCUCUGUUCUGGACUUUGAGCUCGGGAUGCCGAGUACAUAGUCAGCUGAAGAGGCCUUGGCCUGACACAGCUGAGGGGCAUUCUUCUUCCCUCGGAGGCCUCCGGUGUGCCGCUCACCGUGCAGCUGGGCUGUGUUCCUGUGAACAGAACGAUUGCUCCACACUAGAACCGCUGUCUGGGGCAGGAUCUGGAGGGCCCAGAGCUGCUCUCUCGGAGCCGAGCGUGGCGUGGGAACGUGGCUUGGGAACGUGGCGGUCCAGUGCUUCUUCCAGGCCGCCGGGUUCCAUUCAGCUCACAACUCUGAUUUACGGAAGGACACUAACACUCCUCCCGGGAUUCCUCAUGACUUGUAAGAAGAAACAGGUUCACAGACAGAAAUCCAGGCUCAGCUGUGGGUUUCUGGAAUAUAUGGUUAGAUCUAUAAGAACAGAAUGCUUGAUUCAUAUUUUAAUAAGAUAUGGGAAAAUAUUUUAAUGAGAUAAGAGAAAUAUCUUUGAUGUAUGCUACAUCCUAAUGGGAUGACAUGCAGAGGCGAUAGAAGCAAAGACAGCCAUAAUCCUGGCUUUGGGGAAAACUCAGAUCCCCGUGAAACGGAAGAGCAACCCCAAGUAGAGUAGACAGGAUGUGAUGGGGGCUCCUUUCACACCAAUAUAGGUAGCUGCCAAUUUGUAACUCAUCUGUUAAAAAAAUCUGUAUUAUGACAACCUGCUUGCAAAAGUCUGAAGAAAAGUAAAAAAAUGUAAGGACCAUGGGAGGGAUGAACAUAUUUUAUUUAUAACCAAUGGUCUUCCCUCCCUUCUAUGUAUGUACCUUUCUCUGUGUGUGAUUUCCAUUUGCUUCCUCUACUAUCUCAAUAGUGGAUUAUGGAUUACAUUAGAGUGAGGGAGAAGAUACCCCAUACAAUACACAGGAGCGGACUCAGUAGACAGCCUUGGUGGGAGCGGGGAUGGGUACUGCCCAGUAACAGAUCAAGUGCACGAUUUCAACCACAGGAAGGGUAAAAUUAACUCUCUCCUAUCCUUUUCUUCAUGCAACCUUUUGAAUUUCUGGAGUGAUGUGUUGUAAUUCGAGUAGCAGUUUAAGGGUAAAUCAAGCUCACCACAUGUAAAGAAAGCAGACUCCCACCAUGAACAUGAUGCCCUCCUACCUGUGAGCAUGUUCGUGUUUGCAGGUCCCCUUCCCUGCAUCCCUGUGCAGUGGUCCCUGUCUUUCGGGACAGGGCAAGGCUCAUCUUUCCUUCCACCCCUGACAGCCCCACCUCCUCUGUCCAACCUGUCCACACCCUGAAGUGUGAGAUGGAAAAUCAGUCACUUCCUCACACAGAAGGCAGCUCUUCAGAAAACCCAGCAAUGCUUUGCUGGGUUCUUCUGCCUCUCCACGUCUUGCAAGAACAUCCGUGUGAACCCUAGUGGAGACUCACUACAGCCUGGGAGUCUCCCCGCUCACAGUGCCAUCUGGGUUUGGCCUUCAUAUUCUUUGUGCUUUGCCUAUUUCAAAGUAGUCACCCUGGUCUGUGAGGUCCAGCAUCCUCUUUUUUAUUACACUCCUGAAUAUUGGUAGACAUUUCACUAUAAGGAGAAGUCAAGCUUCAACUGUAACAACAGUGAAGCAGAACAAACUUUAAAAAGUUUGCAAAAGAAGAGUGGCGGUGAGGUCAGACUCCUAACUGACACCGACACAUGGAGUGUCUGUGACCAUGGGGUGCUGCUAUGCAAUGUCCUGGAAGCGCAGAGCAGGCUCACAGCAGUAUGUGGGCCUGGGAUUGGUGUGUAUGAGAUUUGCACAUAUUUGUGUAGCAGGCACAGUGCCCAAAUGUGGAUGGCUUUGGAGAAAUUAUAACAUAAGAUUCAAACAUUAGGAUUGACCUUUGAAAAUAUAUUUUAUUCAAAUGUGAAUGUCCACAUCAUUUUUGAAUUACCACUCUUUAAACUUAGUUAUUCAGACAACAUUUUGGGACCUUAUUUUAUGUCUUUUAUCUAAGAAUCUGCUCUGAGUAUAAAGCUAUUAAUUUAUGGUAAAUACUUAAAAUAUAUUGGAAAUAUUAGUAUAAUACAAUUUCAUAUAACAAAAUGGGGACAAAGACUUAUAUGUAUUUUUAAAGUUAGAGGAUAUCUGAACUACAUUUAAUUUUUCAACUAAGCUGUUCCGAACACCUACAGCAAUUGUGUGAUUAUGUUCAAUCUACAGAAAUAAUAAAUACAUUCUCACCACUGAUCUUGCCAAACCUGUUUGAAAAUAAUGAAAAAUCAAAUUACAGUUAAUGCAGUCAUUUCCAGUAUUCUAACAAGUCAGCUCUCUGGGAAGAGGGUUUUCAAAUGCCUGGGUGUUGUAGUUUGUGUUUUUCUUUCUUGCCUUCCACGUGUAGGUCUUUGCCUCCCUCCUGGUUCCCUCCGCAUGGCAUUCCAGUGCCUGAUGCUGCUGACCAGAAUCCUGGCCAUCUGCAUUCAUUUACAUCCACUUCAUUGGCAAUUUUGAGAGUUUCUUUAGAAAUAGAUGUUUUAAUUAAUUUAUGUAGAAGUUUUUCUUUCCCAAAAAGCUCAGAAUAUUACAUUCACAUGAUUCCACAAAAAUUACACAAAAUUAAAUUAUUUAAGAAAUGUAAAAUAGUUGUGAAAUAUUUAGUAAUUUGCAAAAGCCAUAAAAAUAGUAGAAGUAUAAUUCAGUCUCAUGAUUCUGUUGAUUAAUGCUCAUUUAUAAUAUGCUGGCCACAAGAUGUUUUUAUUUUUGAAUUUUUCUUUGACCUAUAUUUGGUUCUUCAUAUGGUAUUAUGCUUUAUUCUUGAUGAGUUGAGUGGACUGAACUAAAAGAUAAGCUAACUGACUCAGUGCCUAUUUUUCAAAAUUACUAAAAUUGAACUUCUAGGGGCAACUUGGUAUCAUUCAUGUUUCUACAAAAUAAUAAAGUUAAGCAGGAUCAUUCAUUAAACUCUGUUUUUUGCCAAAGUUAAAUAUAUUUCAUAUGUAUCAUUAAAACAAAUGUAAAUCAAAACUGACAUCCCCUCUUUUUAAAUGUCACAUUUGUCUUAGAGAAUAGGCUUCCUUUAUUUGGCCUUACAGCUAGUGUAGAAAAAAAGAUAUUUGCAAUGAUUUUUAUAGAAAGGUAUAUUUUUCUCAGUGUGAUAAGAACAUUUAAAUAACUCCACUUACAGGUGAGGUUAAAGAACUGAAGUCUAAAAGCCCGGUUUCUACACAUGGGAAGUGCAGACAGGAGUGCUCAGGGGACUGAUGCCUCUCAUUUAAAUAUUUUGUAGUAUAAAGUAUUUAUGGAAGGUUUGAGGUAGAUGAUUUGGGGGGAAGGGCAAAAAUCUGUCAGAAGCCAUAAUCAUGUAAUUUAAUCCUACUUGUGAGUGGUUAGCAAUCACUUUUGAAUUUAUAGUUUUACUAUUUCAAAAGAAAUGUAGUCUUAUAGUAUUAAAUAAUUAAAAGUUGUGAAAUGUAUAUUUUGGUUGUAUUCUAAUAAAACACCAACAUUCAUAUUCUGUGAUU
rnacentral:lncRNA from 1 species